rnacentral:rRNA from 1 species
GACAGAGGGUGCAAACGUUGUUCGGAAUUACUGGGCGUAAAGCGCGUGUAGGCGGCCAUCUAAGUCGGGCGUGAAAUCCCACGGCUCAACCGUGGAAGUGCACUCGAAACUGGAUGGCUAGAGUCCUGGAGAGGAAGGUGGAAUGCUUGGUGUAGAGGUGAAAUUCGUAGAUAUCAAGCGGAACACCGGGUGGCGAAGGCGGCCUUGACUGGACAGUGACGUGACGCUGACGAC